GACGAACGCUGGCGGCGUGCUUAACACAUGCAAGUCGAACGGAAAGGCCCUGCUUUUGUGGGGUGCUCGAGAGGCGAACGGGAGAGUAAAACGUGAGUUAACUGACCUGGACCCUGCGAUAACUUCAGGGCAUUGGGGCUAAUACCGGAUAGGAGCUCCUGCUGCAUGGUGGGGGUUGGAAAGUUUCGGCGGUUGGGGAUGGACUCGCGGCUUAUCAGCUUGUUGGUGGGGUAGUGGCUUACCAAGGCUUUGACGGGUAGCCGGCCUGAGAGGGUGACCGGCCACAUUGGGACUGCGAUACGGCCCAGACUCCUACGGGAGGCAGCAGUGGGGGAUAGUGCACAAUGGGCGGAAGGCUUAUGCAGCAACGCCGCGUGCGUGAUGACGGCCUUCGGGUUGUAAACCGCUUUCGCCUGUGACGAAGCGUGAGUGACGGUAAUGGGUAAAGAAGCACCGGCUAACUACGUG
rnacentral:rRNA from 1 species